CGCCGAAACGCCCUGGCGGGCGUCGUCCGCGGGUGGUUCCGCGGGCCUGAUGAUGGCAGCCGUUC
rnacentral:hammerhead_ribozyme from 1 species